rnacentral:rRNA from 1 species
UUAAAUUGAAGAGUUUGAUCAUGGCUCAGAUUGAACGCUGGCGGCAGGCCUAACACAUGCAAGUCGAACGGUAACAGGAAGCAGCUUGCUGCUUCGCUGACGAGUGGCGGACGGGUGAGUAAUGUCUGGGAAACUGCCUGAUGGAGGGGGAUAACUACUGGAAACGGUAGCUAAUACCGCAUAACGUCGCAAGACCAAAGAGGGGGACCUUCGGGCCUCUUGCCAUCGGAUGUGCCCAGAUGGGAUUAGCUAGUAGGUGGGGUAACGGCUCACCAAG